rnacentral:rRNA from 1 species
UACGAAGGGUGCAAGCGUUACUCGGAAUUACUGGGCGUAAAGCGUGCGUAGGUGGUGAGUUAAGUCUGUCGUGAAAGCCCCGGGCUCAACCUGGGAAUGGCGAUGGAUACUGGCUCGCUAGAGUGCGGUAGAGGAGAGUGGAAUUCCCGGUGUAGCAGUGAAAUGCGUAGAGAUCGGGAGGAACAUCAGUUGCGAAGGCGGCUCUCUGGGCCUGACCUGACGCUGAGGAGCGAAAGCGUGGGGAGCGAACAGG